UACGUAGGUGGCAAGCGUUGUCCGGAAUCAUUGGGCGUAAAGGGUACGUAGGCGGAUAAGCAAGUUAGAAGUGAAAUACUAUAGCUCAACUAUAGUAAGAUUUUAAAACUGCUCAUCUUGAGGUAUGGAAGGGAAAGUGGAAUUCCUAGUGUAGCGGUGAAAUGCGCAGAUAUUAGGAGGAAUACAGGUGGCGAAGGCGACUUUCUGGCCAUAAACUGACGCUGAGGUACGAAAGCGUGGGUAGCAAACAGG
rnacentral:rRNA from 1 species